CAGCACCGAGCCCAAAGCCUCCCACGUCCUCACGGGGCAAGCAGACCGCCCGCCCCCGGGCAUUGGAAGAAGCGCGGCCUUCACCUCCUGGGCUGGCCGGGGAGCAGGCAGCGCGCCCUGCAGCCAGCAGGAGCCCCAAGCACUGCCCGCCUGCAGCAGGCUCGGAUCGGUACCGGGACAACCCACGUGCGCUGCCUUCUGCUUCGCCCUUGCAAUCAGCCCGGCCCAGCUGCAGGUGUGUGCGGUGAGGACACGCGGGCAGGCUCGGCGCCUUGUGCUGCCGCGCGCCUGGCGGUGAGGGCUGAGCCCCGGCCCCGCUGCGGGGCCGUAGGACGCUGCUAUUCGGUCCCAGCCUGCUGCUUUCCCCAGGACGCGGGUUUUGCCGCUCCCCAAGCGAGGCCGUGCGGAGGGCAGCCCCGGAUCAUCAUUAGGCCAGCACGCUCUGCACUGAUGGAAUCUCCUCUUGCUGAUGUUGGCUGUGCUGGAAAGGCGCUUCCUGGCACUCUGCAAAGCUGACCCCGGGCUGUGCUCUGACAUCAAUGACCGGAUUGGCACGUUCCUUCUGCACAGGCUGUGUCGAAAUCCAGGCACUACUGAAAGCCUCCGGAGACCUGAAUGAAGAUCUGAAGACCUGAAUCUGAAGCCAGCCAAGAGGCAAAGGGGCUCAGGAGAAAUCCAGGCGGCCUCAAUGUGUUCUUUAGUGGCUAUUCCCAUCUCAUAUGUUCUUUAGCCAAAAAUCUACAUCCAAAAAUGUAAUAUCCUCCUCCACUGUUUCCCCUCUUUCUGUCCAGUCCUCCAGCCCUUACAUGAACUUUGAGUAAUUCCCAUCAAAGUCAGCUGGUUUGCUGAGUGAUGUUCAAAUCCCCGUUGGCUCCGUGUAGCGCAGCUUUAAGUCCUGGUAAUAAAAGAGAUUGGGGAAUCUGCA
rnacentral:lncRNA from 1 species